rnacentral:rRNA from 1 species
GAGCCCGGAGAUGGACCCUGAGACACGGGUCCAGGCCCUACGGGGCGCAGCAGGCGCGAAACCUCCGCAAUGCGGGAAACCGCGACGGGGUCAGCCGGAGUGCUCGCGCAUCGCGCGGGCUGUCGGGGUGCCUAAAAAGCACCCCAUAGCAAGGGCCGGGCAAGGCCGGUGGCAGCCGCCGCGGUAAUACCGGCGGCCCGAGUGGCGGCCACUUUUAUUGGGCCUAGAGCGUCCGUAGCCGGGCUGGUAAGUCCUCCGGGAAAUCUGGUCGCUUAACGAUCAGACUGCCGGAGGAUACUGCCAGCCUAGGGACCGGGAGAGGCCGGGGGUAUUCCCGGGGUAGGGGUGAAAUCCUGUAAUCCCGGGAGGACCACCUGUGGCGAAGGCGCCCGGCUGGAACGGGUCCGACGGUGAGGGACGAAGGCCAGGGGAGCGAACCGGAUUAGAUACCCGGGUAGUCCUGGCUGUAAACGAUGCGGACUAGGUGUCACCGAAGCUACGAGCUUCGGUGUUGCCGGAGGGAAGCCGUUAAGUCCGCCGCCCGGGGAGUACGGCCGCAAGGCUGAAACUUAAAGGAAUUGGCGGGGGAGCACUACAACGGGUGGAGCCUGCGGUUUAAUUGGAUUCAACGCCGGGAAGCUUACCGGGGGAGACAGCGGGAUGAAGGUCGGGCUGAAGACCUUACCAGACUAGCUGAGAGGUGGUGCAUGGCCGCCGUCAGUUCGUACUGUGAAGCAUCCUGUUAAGUCAGGCAACGAGCGAGACCCGCGCCCCCAGUUGCCAGCGGUUCGCUUCGCGAAGCCGGGCACACUGGGGGGACUGCCGGCGCUAAGCCGGAGGAAGGUGCGGGCAACGGCAGGUCCGUAUGCCCCGAAUCCCCCGGGCUACACGCGGGCUACAAUGGCCGGGACAAUGGGUACCGACCCCGAAAGGGGUAGGUAAUCCCCUAAACCCGGUCUAACCUGGGAUCGAGGGCUGCAACUCGCCCUCGUGAACCUGGAAUCCGUAGUAAUCGCGCCUCAAAAUGGCGCGGUGAAUACGUCCCUGCUCCUUGCACACACCGCCCGUCAAGCCACCCGAGUGGGCCAGGGGCGAGGGGGAGGUCGUAGGCCACCUUCGAGCCCAG